ACAUGAAGAUUUUAUCUGUUCUUUUCCUCAGAACUUUGUGCCACAGAGGAAAACUCACAGGAGGCAAAUAUUCCCAAUGGGAAUGUGUUGUUCUUUGAAGAAUCCUAUCUGAGCUAUUUUGUCUUACAGGGGGCAAAUAUUGAAUGUGGUAACCCAGAAUGCAUCUCGUUGGCCUACGACCAACCAAGAGCGGGUAAGUGGAGCUGCUCGCUGCCAGCAGUCAUCCUCCUUUUCUUCCCUCAGAAAUCCAGGGUCUGUGUCCUGGAAAUGGAGAAAUCUACCCCAGUUCUUCAAGUGCUUGCACGUGUGCUGAGCUUGAGCCCCUGAAUCAUCCAUUAAUGCAGGGCAUACACAGCCCUGUUUGGCACAUCAAGGUAGAACAAGCCAUGCUCUGGUGUCACUGGACAGUUUCACUCUACAUGUCUAGAUUCAGCAAGAAGUACUUCAUCUCUCUUUUUUUAAAAAUUUUAUUUUUACUAAAACGCUUCAGAAAAUCUAGUUCUGUCUUCAAAUCACUGCAUAGACAAGAAGCUGUCAGAAUCUCUGUUUCACAGGUGAGGAAAACCAGUCCCAUCAAGAUUAAAAUCCCAAUUCAAGGAAAAGCAGAAACUUCAGCACAUCUUUUAAUUUUCCUGUGAUUUUGGCAUAAACUAUCAUGAAUGGUUUCUCUGGGAUGCUGUCAGAGGUGAAAAUAGAAUAUGCUUUGAGUUGCAGACAGUACCUCAGCCGCAGCACUGCGGUGUGUGGACACAGGAGUUUUUCUCUUUACACUUGAUAAAAAAUGUGACGCAUGGGAUGGUCACACAGGAGAGAGAUUUAUUUCUGUAGUUGGUUAUUCAAUUCAGUGGUUCAUAUACUGUGGUACUGAAGCUCAUUUUGGCGUGGAGAUCCAUGCAGCUCCGAACUUUUCCUUCAGCUUUGUAGGUUUUCACGGAAGUGUGUGGUGUCUUUUCUUUGGUCAGGUGCCUUGAAAAUAAACUGGGGGAAAUAAAUAGGCA
rnacentral:lncRNA from 1 species